rnacentral:lncRNA from 1 species
AAGCGGAAGCCUCCGCGGCGGUGACGUCCGGCCGGGGAAGGAGCCGUGGUUGAAGUUGCGGGUCGGGGAUCGGGUCCGCCUGAGGCGCCGCCAGCGGCACCGACCGCGCGGGACGAUGAGGCGGGAUUUACCUGGAGUAAAAGAUCACUGACC